rnacentral:rRNA from 1 species
GAGUUUGAUCGUGGCUCAGGAUGAACGCUAGCGGCAGGCUUAACACAUGCAAGUCGAGGGGCAGCGCGGGUAGCAAUAUCUGGCGGCGACCGGCAAACGGGUGCGGAACACGUACGCAAUCUACCUUGGUCUGGGGCAUAGCCCGGUGAGAACCGGAUUAACACCCCAUAGUAUAAUGGGAGGGCAUCUUUCUGUUAUUAAAAUUUAUUGGAUCAAGAUGAGCGUGCGUCCCAUUAGCUAGUUGGUAGGGUAACGGCCUACCAAGGCGACGAUGGGUAGCUGAUGUGAGAGCAUGAUCAGCCACACGGGCACUGAGACACGGGCCCGACUCCUACGGGAGGCAGCAGUGAGGAAUAUUGGUCAAUGGACGCAAGUCUGAACCAGCCAUGCCGCGUGAAGGAUGAAGGCGUUCUGCGUUGUAAACUUCUUUUAUU